CUACAUUCCGUGGCAGCCUGGCUCCAACAUCCCAGGGAAUUGUGUCACUCCCAUUGAGCAGCUGUGGGGCCCUCUCCCACAUGGCCCAGGUCCACCACUCUGUCAAAGGUCGCACAGCCCAGACAAAAACAGGACACAGCAGUGUGUGAAUGAGCCGGGCUUUCUCCUUCCCUCCACGUAAUAGAAGGUGCCUGAGGUUGUUGAAACACAGUCCAUUUCUCCUGGGAAUGACAAGAAUUUGAGGGAUGCUGACUUUCAAGGAAUACUGCAUGACAGGCAUCAAGAUAAACCUGAUGAAGAAAACAUAGGCCAGAAUCUGGGAAUCGGGAGCAAAGUAAUACAGCUUCGGGGACAGGCACGUAAUGAGGUCAUGAUGUAGGAGACUCCCUGCAGGACUGGCGGCCCCUGUUCCCUGGGUUGUUCUGGCUCUUUCAGAUUUAUAUGUUAACAAGCUGAAUUCCUGCUUCAUCUGGAGGACUGCACAGUGUAUCUGAGAGAGGAUUUUCAGGAGGCCAGAAAAUCAAGCUGGAGGGAUUUUCAGCGUGUUGGGAGAUUGCUACCUGUUUUAAGUCAGGCCAUUGCCACGUCUUUUUCCCCACCUUGGAGACUUCAGCAAAUUGCUCAAAUGUCGGUGUGCUCUCAUGAACAGAAACGAUGGCACGGUGGGUCCUGGUCUCAAGACUUCCUCUCAAUGAUUCAGAGGUCUUGGGGGUUUUUUGUCUGAAUAUCAGGCAAAGAGGAAGGACGGCUACAAUGGAGGAGUCUCCUACCACGCUUGUGGUCGUCACUGUAGUGCUCAGUUGAAUGGUGUGUCCAUUGGGGUUGGAGUCCCCAUCCUGUUCUGGGUCCUGGCCCCCCACAGGCUCCAGGGACAUAACCCUUCCAGUUCAGGAUCAUGUGCUGGGGCACUGUUCCCUGAGGUGGGACUCUGGGCUGUAACAGCUGCUUUUGAAGCAUGUUCCAGCUUCAACCACGUGCUUGGACGACACCAGCUCUUCCCACAUACUCUUCCCCAGCUCUUGUGUUGAGUUUGGCUUCCACCUUCCUCCAGCUGGGUCUCGCUAUGUUGCCCAAGCCAUUCUGGAGCUCCUGCGCUUAAGUGAUCCUCCUGCCUCAGCCUCCCAAGUAACUGGAAUUAUAAAUGUGAGCCACUGUGCCCAGCAAUUACAAAAUUUUUGGAAUGCAAUUGGGAAGUACAGCUGAAAAACUUCAGCAACGUGGGCUGUUUGAUUGUACAAUCGCACUUCUUGGAAUUUAUCCUACAGAAAUCAGUAGUCAAGUUCACAAAAACUGACAAUAGCCAUUACAGAGAAGCAGAAGAAAGGGAAAUAAAAACAUUCAAACCUACCAACAGGAGAUUGGACAAAUAAAUCAUGUUAUAACUAUACAAUGGGCUAUUAUGUAACCAUUAAAAUGAUCAUCUAUUCUA
rnacentral:lncRNA from 1 species